rnacentral:rRNA from 1 species
CUACGGGCUGCUCCAGUGGGGAAUUUUGCGCAAUGGGCGGAAGCCUGACGCAGCAACGCUGCGUGAGGGAUGAAGGUCUUCGGAUUGUAAACCUCUGUCAAGUGGGAAGAACCCUGACGGUACCACUGGAGGAAGCCCCGGCUAACUCCGUGCCAGCAGCCGCGGUAAUACGGAGGGGGCAAGCGUUGUUCGGAAUCAUUGGGCGUAAAGCGUAUGUAGGCGGCCGGAUAAGUCAGGCGUGCAAGCCCAUGGCUUAACCAUGGAAUUGCGUCUGAAACUAUCUGGCUUGAGGACAGGAGAGGAAAGCGGAAUUCCCAGUGUAGCGGUGAAAUGCGUUGAUAUUGGGAAGAACACCGGUGGCGAAGGCGGCUUUCUGGCCUGUUUCUGACGCUGAGAUACGAAAGCCAGGGGAGCGAACGGGAUUAGAUACCCUUGUAGUC